GAUUCUUUUACUUAAGCCGUCCGAUCUUCAUUUACUGACCUUCCUUCAACUAAAAUGCCCAACACACUUUUAUUUAUUUAAUUGAAAGUAUUGCGCUUUUGGUCCCUGAUACUUUUCAUAUUCAUUCUGUUCACUCAGGGUCUAAUUACCUGCAAGCACAUUAUUAUUUUUAUAUUGCCCAUUAGUUCAAUUACAGAUAUAUCGAUUUAUAUUUAAUUACAUUAGUCUAAUUACUUCUUCAUGGAAAUAGUCAGUUCGAGUCUCAGAUGAAGCACAUUCGAUCAAAUCUUUUUAUGGACAAUAAGGGAGAUCUAACACUAGUGACCUUGGUGAUAUUUCUUUUAUUGAUUAUGAUGAUCGUAACCCUGCCAAUGUAUUUUUGGACCUUGCUGAUGAGUCCUAACAACAUUCAAGAUGUGUGCAUUUGUGUUAUGCAAAAAACUGUAAAAAUGGACAUAAUAGUAUCUCGGUCAAAAUUUUACAGUCUUCCAUAGAUGAAGUCACCGUCAUUGGAAUCUCAAGCAAUGGAUAUUUUCAUAGGAAAGAUAAAGAAAAUCAUGGAAAGGAAUCUCUAUCGUUCGAACACGGUUUGGUUUCAAGGGAAUCUCUAGCAAUGGAGUUGGUCGCCAAAGGUAUCGGUUUAGAAUAGCUACAUUCUGGACGUGGUUGUAUCAGAGAAGAAAGAAGAAAGAAAUUCCGAGACUGGCCGUAGGUGAGAGGAGGAAGAUAAUCUCCAGUAGGGGCCAUAGGAGGAAGAUAACAUUUAUUUCAAUCACUG
rnacentral:lncRNA from 1 species